GAUGAACGCUGGCGGCGUGCCUAAUACAUGCAAGUCGUACGGAAAGGCCCUUCGGGGUACUCGAGUGGCGGACGGCUGAGUAACGCGUGGGAACGUGCCCCAAAGGGAGGGAUAACGCACCGAAAGGUGUGCUAAUACCGCAUAUGGUCUUCGGAUUAAAGCUUCGGCGCUUUGGGAGCGGCCCGCGUACGAUUAGAUAGUUGGUGAGGUAAUGGCUCACCAAGUCGACGAUCGUUAGCUGGUCUGAGAGGAUGAUCAGCCAGACUGGGACUGAGACACGGCCCAGACUCCUACGGGAGGCAGCAGUAAGGGAUCUUCCACAAUGGGGGCAACCCCGAUGGAGCAACGCCGCGUGCAGGAUGAAGGUUUUCGGAUCGUAAACUGCUUUUAUAAGUGAAGAAUAUGACGGUAACUUAUGAAUAAGGAUCGGCUAACUACGUGCCAGCAGCCGCGGUAA
rnacentral:rRNA from 1 species